UUUUGUAUUUUAAGAGUCCUUUAAAAUCUUGUGGUAUUCAAUCAAGAUUUGAAAAAGUCCUUUAAAAUCCUGUGGUAUUCAAUCAAGAUUUUAAAAAAUCCUUUUAAAUCUGAUGGUAUUCAAAGCCCAACGAUUUUGAAAGAUUUUAUUAGAUGCUUGAUUUUGUAGGAUUCUAGGGUGCUUGGUAUAAAUACCAAACCCUAUCAGAAAUCCACCCUCUAGACUUGAGAUUUUGACGUCUUCUUUUCUUCUUUUUCUCUCUCGCACUCUGAAGAUGAAAAGACGUCAAAGAGAGAAGAAGAUCUGACUGGAGAAGUCGAACUGACCUGGAGCUGACCUCAACCUGUGAAUCUUGUGGAAAUCAUCACUUGUUAAAAAGAGUAUUAUCAUCAUGGUUGAUCCACAACAAGAUGGAAAAAAAAAAAGGGAAUUAUGAGCAGUGGACCAAGGAAGAGAGUGAUACCUUAUUAGAACUAAUGGUUGAUGCCGCCGUUAGGGAAUGGUGUGACAAUAGUGGCAUCUUAAGUAAGCAAACAGUGGAAGAAAGAAUACUUCCUGUUCUUAAUGCAAAACUUGGGUGUCACAAGACCUACAAAAACUACCAAAGCAGGCUUAGAUGGUUUAAAGGUCGGUGGAACUCUUACUCUACCCUUAUGCGGUUUAGCUCUGGUUUUGGAUUUGAUUCAACUACAAAGAGGUUUACUGCUUCUAAUAAGUAUGAGAGGAAUAUCUUAAGGCUCACCCAAAGGACACCGACUUGCGCUAUGGGACAUUUGUUGAUUAUGAGGACUUGGAAAUUUCUAUUAGGAAUGGUGUAGCGGUUGGGAAAAACUCGGUCGGGUUGGGUAGUGUUACUGAUGCAAGAACAUUAGGUGUUGGUGAAGGUAAAGAGGCAUGCAUAGAAGACUUUGAUUAUGAUAUAGAUUGUGAAGCAUUUGUUGGACCAAAUCAAAAUAAUCCAUCAACUCAUCCAAUAUCACCCCUCAAAGUGGCGUUAUGGAGAAGCUUGAUAAACUUUACUCUGGUUUUGAAGUAAUGAUUAACUUACUAGAGAAAAGAGAGUGACAAAGUAAAAUUUGGGAUGCUAUCAUGAAGAUCUCAAACUUGGAUGAAGCUACCGGUUUCAAGGCUUUUGAGUUGCUUGAUACCAAAACAAAAAAAGAUGGAUUCUUAAAUAUGUCUCCUCAACAGCGAUCAAAUUGGAUAUUCCACAAGUUGGGAGGACUAUAAAUUGUGACUUGCUAUGUUAUGAUGUCUUAUGUGACGUUAUUAUGAAUUAGAAUACAUUUGGUCUUUUAAGUUCUUUUGAAUAUUUUGCUUUAACUAU